UAGGGAAUAGCUCAGUAGCAGAGCACGUGCUUAGCAUGCACGAGGUCCUGGUUUCAAUCCCCAGUCCUCCAU
rfam:Camelus ferus unplaced genomic scaffold scaffold185, whole genome shotgun sequence.